CCUACGGGAAGCAGCAGUGAGGAAUUUUCCGCAAUGGGCGAAAGCCUGACGGAGCAAUACCGCGUGAGGGAUGAAGGAUUUUGGUCUGUAAACCUCUUUUCUCAAGAAAGAAGUUCUGACGGUACUUGAGGAAUAAGCAUCGGCUAACUCCGUGCCAGCAGCCGCGGUAAU
rnacentral:rRNA from 1 species